GUAGGUGCAAGCGUUGUCCGGAAUUAUUGGGCGUAGAGCGCGCGCAGGCGGUCCUUUAAGUCUGAUGUGAAAGCCCACGGCUCAACCGUGGAGGGUCAUUGGAAACUGGGGGACUUGAGUACAGAAGAGGAAAGCGGAAUUCCAAGUGUAGCGGUGAAAUGCGUAGAGAUUUGGAGGAACACCAGUGGCGAAGGCGGCUUUCUGGUCUGUAACUGACGCUGAGGCGCGAAAGCGUGGGGAGCAAACAGGGAUUAGAUACCCUGGUAGUCCACGCCGUAAACGAUGAGUGCUAAGUGUUAGGGGGUUUCCCGCCCCUUAGUGCUGCAGCUAACGCAUUAAGCACUCCGCCUGGGGAGUACGGCCGCAAGGCUG
rnacentral:rRNA from 1 species